UUGAUUCCACCUCUAUGUACUCCGCCUCCUUCAAACCUAUAUACUCUGCUGUGCUGAGAUAUUGUCAGACGACUUUUUGAAGACUGCAGUGCAGAGCAGCGAGUAUCUGAAUAAAGAGAAACUUCUGCUUCAAGAUAUCCAAAAACGUCUCCUGGUCUCUAAGAAAAAAAUUCACAACAACUGUCUGACCUUCUUUGCAAAGAAUAAAUUUGACAUUUGACUGAGUUUGUCUCUUACUUUGGUGAGAGUCUGUUCGAUUUUGCCACAACAAUAUUAUGAGCCAUAUGACUAGUAAGUAACACCUGAAACUUUUACCAUUUAAAAGUUUAAGGGUCAGAUUUGUCAUGUAUUUGAAAUAAAUCUUUUAUGGCCUGCUGCUAUUAAUUGCUGCAUUUAUUUGAUUAAAUAUUGUGACAUUACCAUUUUAAAAUAACUUUUUUUAUUAUUAUUAUUUCAAUGAUUUAAAAAAAAAAGUGUAAUUGUCCUGUGUAGACACCUUGUUAGAAAUCUUAUUAAAUAUUGUUAAAGCCCAGAAAAUGGAGCGCAGCAGGAGGAAAACAAAAUUAGAGUUUUUUCGCACUGCUUGGCGUGAAUGUACCCUAUCGUAUAGAAAAACGUUAAAAUCUGCAAGAUCUGAUUAUUUUUCGAUUCUUUUAGAAGAUAACAAACAUAACCCUAGGUAUUUAUAUCACAAUUAUCUUCCUUCCUACAGAAAAAUGAUAUCUGUGAGGAUUUCCAGUCAGGUUUUAGACCGUACCAUAGUACCAUAGUAGAGACUGCUCUUAUUAGAGUUACAAAUGAUCUGCUCUUGUCAUCUGAUCGUGGUUGUAUCUCUCUGUUAGUGCUACUGGAUCUUAGUGCUGCGUUCGAUACUGUUGACCACAACAUUCUCUUGAACAGACUUGAAAAUUAUGUUGGCGUUAGUGGUAGUGCUUUGGCAUGGUUCAAAUCGUACUUAUCUGACCGCCAUCAAUUCGUGGCAGUAAAUGAAGAGGUAUCACAUCGGUCACAAGUGCAGUAUGGAGUACCACAAGGCUUAGUACUAGGGCCAUUACUUUUUACGCUUUACAUGUUACCCUUGGAUGAUAUCAUCAGGAAAUAUGGUAUUAGCUUUCACUGUUAGGCUGAUGAUACUGAGCUCUAUAUUUCUUCACGGCCCGGCGAAACAUACCAAUUUGAAAAACUAACAGAUUAUGUAGUUCAGUUAAAAAAUUGGAUGACAAGUAAUUUCUUGCUGCUAAAUUCUGAUAAAACAGAGGUGUUAAUUAUUGGACCUAAAACCUUAGCGUGUAAUAACCUAAAGCACGGUAUAAUACUUGAUGGCUGUUCUGUCAAUUCUUCGUUAUCAGUUAGGAACCUAGGUGUGCUAUUUGAUGGCAAUCUUUCUUUUGAAAACCACAUCUCUAGUAUUUGCAAAACUGCAUUUUUCCAUCUCAAAAAUAUAUCUAAAUUACGACCUAUGCUCUCAAUGUCAAAUGCUGAAACAUUUAUUCAUGUGUUUAUGACCUCAAGGUUAGAUUAUUGUAAUGCUUUAUUGGGUGGUUGUUCUGCUCGCUUAAUAAACAAACACCAGCUGGUCCAAAAUGCAGCAGCUAGAGUUCUUACUAAGAACCAAAAAGUAUGAUCAUAUUAGCCCGGUUCUGUCAACACUGCACUGGCUCCCUAUUAAACAUUGUAUAGAUUUUAAAAUCUUGUUAAUUACAAAGCCCUGAAUGGUUUAGCUUCUCAGCCCUGAAUUUGAUUACACCUAGAAUAUCAAAAUCAACCGCAGGCGGCAGAUCAUUUUCUUAUCUAGUGCCCAAAGUCUGGAACAAUCUACCCAACACUGUUCGGGACGCAGACACACUCUGUCAGUUUAAAUCUAGACUAAAGACCCAUCUCUUUAACCUUGCUUACACAUAACACAUCAACAUAUUCUUAUAAUUCAAAUCCGUUAAAGGAUUGUUAGGCUGCCCUAAUUAGGUCAACCGGAACCGGGAACACUUCCCAUAACACCCGAUGUACUCAGUGCAUCGCCAGAAUAAUGGCAUCUAUGCUAAUGUUAGUCUUUUUCUUUCUUAUUCCGAGGUCACCUUAACCACCAGAUCCAGUCUGUAUCCAGAUCAGAUGGUCACUGCAGUCCCCCCGGAUCCAGUCUGGAUCCAGUCUGUACCCAGCCCCGACGGUGGAUCAGCACCUAGAGACGACCUCUACAGCACUGAAUCUCAGCGGAGAUCACAUCGACUAGAUGAGCCCCAGAGACGGAUCCCCAGUGAAGACCUCGUCACCUAGACGGCUGUCGGCACAAGACCACAGGAACCUGCUAAAUAAAACCAAAGGCCAUUCAGCCAGAGGUCACUGCAUCUUUUGCUGUAUGCUGGGGAAAAAACAGCCAGGAUAAAGCAUUCAAAGUGGAAACUUCCGUCAUGGCUCAGUAAUCCAGGAUUGGGGUGGUGAAAGGAACAGAAGAAGCAGAAGAUCAGAGAUCAGGCAGAGAUCUACUGAUGCUCCUGAGGAAACAGAUUUACCUAAUGUUUUAGUUAAACCAAAAAUUUCAUCACUCACCUUCAUGUUGUUCCAAACCUGAAAUACUUUUGUUGAUCUUUGAAACAUAAAUGUAGAUCUUUUUUAAUUAAAAAUUUGAGAAAUUUCUGUCCCUCCAUUUCACAGUUAUGAAAGCUAUCACUUUCAAGCCUCACAAAGGUAAUAAAGACAUCAUUAAAGUAAUACAUGUGACUCUAGUUGUUUAACCUCAAUUUUAUAAAGUGAUGUGAAUGUUUUGUGUGCACAAAAAAAUUGCAUUUUUAUUCACAAAAUAACACGUUCACGAGAGCACCAUGAUGCAUUGGUGUUGUGUUUGGUGUGAGGGCUAGCCAUCUCAUGGUGAUUUGUGAAAAUGCGUUGCAGAUACAUAAUUUGUAAAUAAAGAUGUAAUUUUAUUGUUGUUGCUGUUUUUUGCGCACACAAGGCAUCUGUUAAAAAUAUAUUCACUUGCGUUCUGCACAAAAGGGUCUUAUGGGUUUGGAGUGACAUGAGGGUAAGUAAUUAAUGACAAUUUACAUUUUUGGGUGAAAUAUGUUCUAAUAUGGUUAUAAUUGGUCAUUGUUCUGUUUUAUAAACAUUUUCAAUAUUUUGAAGAUUACUGUUAUAAAAAAUCUGUUUCAAAUAAAUACUGCUCUUUUGAAAGUUCUAUUCGAAGAAUACUGAAAAUAUGUUUUCCACAAAAAAAUAUUGGGCAACACAACUGUUUUCCAUUGAUAAUAAUCAGAAAAUCUUGAGCAGAAAAUCAUAUUAAAAUGUUUCUUGAAAGUUCAUGUGACACUGAACACUGGAGUAAUUAUGCUGAAAAGUUAUAUUUCAUAAUAUUACUUAUUUUAUAGUAAAGUGUUUUUUACUUGAAAGAUGUGUUUAAUGUGUCAAUAAAUGUUUUGGUACGCUUU